CAGCCGCCACGGUAAUACGUAGGUCCCGAGCGUUGUCCGGAUGUAUUGGGCGUAAAGCGAGCGCAGGCGGUUAGAUAAGUCUGAAGUUAAAGGCUGUGGCUUAACCAUAGUACGCUUUGGAAACUGUUUAACUUGAGUGCAAGAGGGGAGAGUGGAAUUCCAUGUGUAGCGGUGAAAUGCGUAGAUAUAUGAAGGAACACCGGUGGCGAAAGCGGCUCUCUGGCUUGUAACUGACGCUGAGGCUCGAAAGCGUGGGGAGCAAACAGGAUUAGAUACCCGAGUAGUCCCUGUCUCUUAUACA
rnacentral:rRNA from 1 species